UAGAAGCAGCGGCGGGCGGGAGGGCAAGGAGAGAGAGUUGGAGUCCGGGAGUGGGGCUGGGGCGGUCCAAGAGGCUGAGUCAGGUGGAGGAGGGGGAGAAAAAGGGGAUGGAUUUGUUUGAAGACCUGCCUGAGCCCGGAAGAGAUGCCCAGAAGUCAAAACCUUCGCUAUUUGAUAACCUACCAGACCCAAGCAACCCAGACGUAGGUACUCCUUGAGAAGUUGGUGACAUAUCUUUUAUUAGAACCACUAUUGAAAUGGUUUGAUGAGCCAUUUGAAAGGGCAGUCGGGAGUCACCUGCAUUGCUGUGGGACAGGAGUCACAGGCUAGAC